AGUGAACGCUGGCGGUAGGCCUAACGCAUGCAAGUCGAACGGCAGCACAGUAAGAGCUUGCUCUUACGGGAGGCGAGUGGCGGACGGGUGAGGAAUACAUCGGAAUCUACUUUUUCGUGGGGGAUAACGUAGGGAAACUUACGCUAAUACCGCAUACGACCUACGGGUGAAAGCAGGGGAUCUUCGGACCUUGCGCGAUUGAAUGAGCCGAUGUCGGAUUAGCUAGUUGGCGGGGUAAAGGCCCACCAAGGCGACGAUCCGUAGCUGGUCUGAGAGGAUGAUCAGCCACACAGGAACUGAGACACGGUCCAGACUCCUACGGGAGGCAGCAGUGGGGAAUAUUGGACAAUGGGCGCAAGCCUGAUCCAGCCAUACCGCGUGGGUGAAGAAGGCCUUCGGGUUGUAAAGCCCUUUUGUUGGGAAAGAAAAGCAGCAGGUUAAUACCCCGCUGUUCUGACGGUACCCAAAGAAUAAGCACCGGCUAACGUCGUG
rnacentral:rRNA from 1 species